rnacentral:rRNA from 1 species
UACAGAGGGUGCGAGCGUUAAUCGGAAUUACUGGGCGUAAAGCGCGCGUAGGCGGCUUUGCAAGUCGGGUGUGAAAUCCCCAGGCUUAACCUGGGAACUGCAUUCGAGACUGCAUUUGCUAGAGUAUGGGAGAGGGGAAGUGGAAUUUCCGGUGUAGCGGUGAAAUGCGUAGAUAUCGGAAGGAACAUCAGUGGCGAAAGCGACUUCC